rnacentral:rRNA from 1 species
CAGCCGCCGCGGUAAUACGUAGGUGGCAAGCGUUGUCCGGAAUUAUUGGGCGUAAAGGGAGCGUAGGCGGCGUGGUAAGUCAGAUGUGAAAUCCCGGGGCUCAGCCCCGGAACUGCAUCCGAUACUGCCGUGCUAGAGGAUUGGAGAGGUAGCUGGAAUUCUUGGUGUAGCAGUGAAAUGCGAGGAGAUCAAGAGGAACACUCGUGGCGAAAGCGAGCUACUGGACAAUAUCUGACGCUGAGGCUCGAAGGCCAGGGUAGCGAAAGGGAUUAGAUACCCCGGUAGUCCCUGUCUCUUAUAC